CAGUAGCCGCGGGAAUACGAAGGGGGCUAGCGUUGCUCGGAAUUACUGGGCGUAAAGGGCGCGUAGGCGGCUGGACAAGUCAGGCGUGAAAUUCCCGGGCUCAACCUGGGGACUGCGCUUGAGACUGUUUGGCUAGAGGACAGGAGAGGGUCGUGGAAUUCCCAGUGUAGAGGUGAAAUUCGUAGAUAUUGGGAAGAACACCGGUGGCGAAGGCGGCGACCUGGCCUGUUACUGACGCUGAGGCGCGACAGCGUGGGGAGCAAACAGGAUUAGAUACCCCCGUAGUCCCUGUCUCUUAUAC
rnacentral:rRNA from 1 species